GUACACUUCAUCUGGUAAUGGACCAACUUCUAGUAGUUUAUCGAGAAACUCAAGCAACGAUUCUACAGUAUAUGGGUAGUUCUUCAUCUAUAGUAGAGCCCAUGCUACUAUUGUCUUCUCUAAUUGGUACAGAUGCGACAACAUCUUAUCAACCAUCGGUCUUAGUUGGACAGGUAUCUUAUGCCCCUUUACCUAUCCGAAUAAUCUGGGAGCGUACAUAUUUGGGUUGUUCCUCACUUUCCAUUUAGUCAGGAAGGUUUUAGCUCUAACAAUCUUAUUAACUUUUCGUUGUAAAAUCUGUGUUAGGUCAUACUGAGGC
rnacentral:lncRNA from 1 species